CCAUCGUAGACGGCUUCUUCUUGCACAAGAGAGCAUUGAUCAAUCCUUUGCGAUUUAUCUCCAUCUUGAUUACGUUUGUCUUCUCCAUCUUCUUCAAUCUCGAUCAACAUCGCCGCAACCUAGCACUCUGGUACCACCUGGUGUUGAUACCAAUUGUGCACUUUGGUACCAGCUUGGCUCUGAUACCAAACGCAUACUCCGGUACCAUCUGGCUCUG
rnacentral:lncRNA from 1 species